UUAAAUAUUUUUAAGUAGCGCAAUGUAAGGCUAUGGUUUGAGAUGUUAUAUAUCGCGAGAAAUUCGUCGAGUUUAGAGAAAUGUACGAUAUUUUAUUACACCGGCAUCACGAUCAGAACACGCGGCAUUGUAGGCUAGCACAUUUUGUAUUCUUUUAUUUUGACUUAAUUGUAUCAAAAUAAGGCACAAAGUAUUAGAGUCUCGUAAUUUUUUGGGCCUUCAGCCUUCCGUAGACUCGCAUAUCUACCAAUCAAAAUUUAAAAAUUCGACGACAAUACUAAUAUUCUAUAAUAUUCGUUACACAUAAGGAUGCACAAUCUGCGCAUGCUCAGUU
rnacentral:lncRNA from 1 species